rnacentral:rRNA from 1 species
CACGGGGGGAGCAAGCGUUGUUCGGAAUCACUGGGCGUAAAGGGCGUGUAGGCGGUCAAGUAAGUGGAAUGUGAAAUCCCUCGGCUUACCCGAGGACCUGCAUCCCAAACUGCUUGGCUUGAGUACGGGAGAGGAUGAGGGAAUUCCUGGUGUAGCGGUGAAAUGCGUAGAUAUCAGGAGGAACACCGGUGGCGAAGGCGCUCAUCUGGCCCGAUACUGACGCUGAUGCGCGAAAGCUAGGGGAGCGAACGGG